rnacentral:rRNA from 1 species
AUUGAACGCUGGCGGCAUGCCUUACACAUGCAAGUCGAACGGCAGCACGGGAACAAUCCUGGUGGCGAGUGGCGAACGGGUGAGUAAAGUAUCGGAACGUGCCCAGUCGUGGGGGAUAACGUAGCGAAAGUUACGCUAAUACCGCAUACGAUCUAUGGAUGAAAGCGGGGGAUCGCAAGACCUCGCGCGAUUGGAGCGGCCGAUAUCAGUUUAGGUAGUUGGUGGGGUAAAGGCUCACCAAGCCGACGAUCUGUAGCUGGUCUGAGAGGACGACCAGCCAAACUGGGACUGAGACACGGCGCAGACGCCUGCGGGAGGCAGGAGUGGGGAAUUUUGGACAAUGGGCGAAAGCCUGAUCCAGCCAUGCCGCGUGCAGGAUGAAGGCCUUCGGGUUGUAAACUGCUUUUGUACGGAACGAAAAGGUUUGGCCUAAUAAGCUGGGCUCAUGACGGUACCGUAAGAAUAAGCACCGGCUAACUACGUGCCAGCCGCCGCCGUAA